rnacentral:tRNA from 1 species
GGGCCCGUAGUGUAGCCUGGAUUAACACGUCGCCCUGUCACGGCGAAGAGCGCCGGUUCAAAUCCGGUCGGGCCCG